rnacentral:lncRNA from 1 species
CGCUAACCUCCAAGCUGUCUCAUCUGACUCCUACUCUGACUCUGACGCCCUCCUUUACACCUACGACACCGCCUACCACGGCUUCGCCGCUUCUUUAGAUCCCGACCAGGCCGAGACGCUUCGCCAGUCGGAAUCCGUAAUCGGGGUUUAUGAAGAUACUGUUUACAACCUCCACACCACUAGAACUCCAGAGUUUCUAGGCUUGGAAACCGCUAACGGGUUCUGGGCCGGACACUCUCUCCAGGACUUAAAUCAGGCCUCCAAUGACGUCAUCGUCGGAGUUUUGGAUACCGGGGUUUGGCCGGAGUCUAAGAGCUUCAACGACGCUG